rnacentral:tRNA from 1 species
GGAGUUGUAGCUCAGUGGUAGAGCGCUUGCCUUGCAUGCAGGAGAUACUGGGUUCAAUCCUA